rnacentral:lncRNA from 1 species
GUCUGACCUCUUUUCCUUUGUAUAAGAACAAGCAUGAAGGAGGCCUCCUAGCCUGUUCACAGGUCCUUAUAUGACCAGUGAAAACAGUUGGUCCUGGCAAGUAUUAACUGCUCUCAAUCUUAACCUGAUAACUGCCAUUUGUCCAUAUUUUAAUUUGUCUGAAUUAAUUUUAAGAUGUAUUUUAAUUAAUUGAUGCCUGUUUUUAUGUAUACUGUGUUAUUUAUGUGAUGUUAGCCGCUCUGAGCCCGCCUCCAGCUGGGGAGGGCGGGGCACAAAUAAAAUUAUUUAUUUAUUUAUUUAUUUAUUUAUUUAUUAUUAAAUUUAUAUUCCACCUUUUCUUCCAAGGAGUUAAAGCUGGCCUACACAGUUCUCCUCUCUCCUCAUUUAAUCUCCACAACAACCCUGUGAGGUAGGUUAGGCUGAGAGACAGUGACUGGCCUCUUCUUUCAUGUCUGAGUAGGGUGAUUUGAACCCUGGCCUCUCCCAGGUCCUACUCAAACUGCUAUACCACCACUGGCUCUUCGUUAGGUAGCCCCCCCUUUAAAUGUGAGCUGAAUUGAAUUUUCCCUACCAACCUUACAGGGUUGUAGUGAAAGGCAGCUGCACCCAAGAAAGACUAGCCAAAAUGUGCCGUUUAGUCAUGCCUCCUAAAUGACUAAACAAUGAUGAAUGAAGAUGAAUAGCCGUGGCAUUUAGCUGGGAUGCAGGGACGGCAAGAGGGUCAUGUUUCAGUGGCCGCCUGCAGUGGGCGGAAACCGGUCCCAUGAAUCGCUCGUUUACCUACUCCAAAUUACUCUGCUUUGGGAUUAGAAUUUCACGAGGGUGUUACUCGCCAUCCUUAAUGGAUAAUUACCAGCGAUGACCUAAGAAUACUAUAAAUAUAAAGUAUGCCAUAUAUGUGGUCAUGGUAACCACCGCAGAAAACGCGAAUGUUUACAAGACUGUGGUAUAAAUUCCCAGCCAUUAUAUAACGUGACUUGAUCCAAGCACUGCCAGAGGUCCAGGAAGAUUCUAUCCACGCCAACUGCAGCAUGUUUCUAUAGUAACCGAUGCAUUUCAAAAUGGGGAGGGGGACGAGGACAAGGCUAAGGGUGGGGUGGGGGAAGAGUAAUAAUAGAUGGGGAGAAUCUGAUGGAAGGUUUCUGUUCUCACUUCAGCCCACUGGUGCUGAAAGUGGUCUCAAGACUUGGGGCACAGUCAAGUCCACGGAAUAUGUCAGGGGGGGUCACAGAGCCAGCGUGGUGUAGCAGUUAGAACAGAGCUUUCCAAACUGUGUGUUGCGACACGUUAGUAUGUCAGCUGCAGUGUGUAGGUGUGUCGGGCAAAUGCUCCCCACAAUUCUCCUGGGGCUGGAAAGGGGUUAAUUUAACCUCCGGCUUGCUAGUAAAACUGAAUUACUAUGUCACAAAAUGAUCCAUGUCUAAAAAGUGUGUCACCAACACGAGAAGUUUGGAAAGCUCUGGGUUAGAGUGUGAGACUAGGACCUGGGAAUGACGAGAGAUCAAAUCCCCAACUCGGCCGUGAAGCUUGCUGUGGGCGACCGUGGGGCAGUCACUGUCAGGGACGAAUGAAUGGGGAGUGGUAGGAGGCACCAGCUGGGGAACCCCCAAGAGAAACCCCAGAGAAGGAAGGCUCAGAGUCUGGGAAUUGGUGGUGGGACACUGGGGAGAGGUCAGAGAGAAAAGAUUGGGAGAAGGUGCCAUAAACCACAGGGUUUAGUGAGCAGGGAGAGCCUGUGACAGAGAGCAGUUCAGACUGAGGCUGAAGCAGAGGUGGGGACUGCUGAAGAAUUAAUAGAGUCUCUCUCUCCUGCUGAGACAAGAUCCCCUCCCUGCUGGUCUCCAAGAACAUGCAGGUCAUCUCCACAUGUGCAUUUGAUAACCCUGAAUAUUCAGUGUCUUUUUAUUAUGACACUGCUUCUUUAAACAGCCCUCUGAAAGCUCCCCAAUAAUAUUUUCUACAGAACGUUUUGGAUUGCCAGCCAAAUAUGUUUCCAAGAGUCUUCGCCAAGGUUGUAAGCAACACUUGUACUGAAGCCACAAGAGUGAGGGUGUGGAACAUUUUUAUUCCCGUCUGAGGGCCACAUUCCCUCGUGGGCGACCUGCUGGGGGCCGUGUGCCUCUGGUGGAGGUGUCGAGAGGCAGACGUGGGCAGGGCCAGAGGUAAGUGUGGGUGGAACACUGAGUGCGACAUUUGCCUUUCUAGUCCCAGUCAUUCGAGGCCCUUCGGUGUGUUGGUUGUAAAGGGACUUGUGCUGCAAGACUGGAAAGAUAAAACACCCACCAUUAUCAGCUGGGGCUGUUAGGAGUUGUACUCCAAAACAUUCGGAGGGCAGCAGGUUGGGGAAGGCUGACACAGGGGAUGACAACAAACACCUGUUUAAGCUUCCCAGUCAAUUUCCAGACUGUAUGUUACCUUGCAAAAGAAGAAGUCUCUUCUGAGUCUGCCUUUGACAGGUUCACUUGCCUUUUUUGUUCUCUUCGAUUCCUCUGGUACUGCAGCACACACAGGGAAGAUGUCGUAUGCAUUUUAGACAGUUUGAUUUUUCUUUUUUAAUCAAAAGGAAAUUAAAGGAGAGAGAGCAGUGUGUAUUCCUUAUGAGUAAUGCAGGGUGUCUCAUUCAUUCUUAAGGUAGCCUGAAAGAACUACAACAUUUUCAUUAUAAUUCUGGGUCAGCUUUGCCGUGGGACUACACAUGUAGAGCUGAGGAAGGUCAUUUUCCUUCCGGUCUCAUUUGAAUUAUUCUCCUCCCUGCCACCCCCUCAAAUCACAUCUGCCACUGAUGCCACCUUAUUUUGAUCUCUUCUUCUUUGGCAAUCACUUGUAGCCGAGUAAGAUUGUCUUUCAUGAACAUGGUCUUAACAGUGGGUCCGUAAGUGCCUGUGGAGGCCAAUUCUGGAUUCACCCGUCCUUCCAUAGUGGGGACAUAGGUUUCCGAGAAGGAAUUGAUCACGGUGAGGGUUUGCCAAAUGUGCCUUCCUGUUAGCUCGUUUAUCCCUUGCGUCCUGAGUUCGAGUGUCUUCAAAGUCCACGACACCUUUGGUAAAGCCUGUUCUCCAAUUGGAAUGCUCACAGGCCAGUGUUUCCCAGUUGUCGGUGUUUAUACUACAUUUUUUUAGAUCUGCCUUGAGAGAGUCUUCGAACCUCUUUUGUUGACCACCAGCAUUACACUUUCCAUUUUAAAGUUUGGAAUAGAGUAGUUGCUUUGGAAGACAAUAAUCAGGCAACCAAACAAGAUGACCAGUCCAACGAAGUUGAUGUUGAAGAAUCAUUGCUUCAACACUGGUGAUCUUUACUUCUUCCAGUACACUGGCAUUAGUUUGCCUGUCUUCCCAAGUGAUGUGUAAAUUUUUCCAGAGAAAUCAUUGAUGGAAUCUUUCAAGGAGUUGGUGAUAGCGUUUGUAAGUGGUCCAUGUUUCGUAAGCAUCCAGUAAGGUUGGUAGUACAAUAGCUUUGUAAACAAGCAUUUUGGUUUCUCUGCGGAUGUCCCGGUCCUCAAACACUCUGCACUUCAAUCGGGAGAAAGCUGGAUUUCGGCAUCAAUGUUGGCCCUGGUGGAAAGAUAACUGCCCAGGUAGGAGAAGUGAUCGACACUGUCCAACGUUACACCAUUGAGUUAGAUUAGUGGUGCUGCAGAAGGGUUGUUUUGUGCUUGUUGGUGCAGCACUUUGGUUUUUUGGAUGUUGAGCAAUAGGCCAAGCUUUUCAUAAGCUUCUGCGAAGAUAUUUAGGAUGGUUUGGAGGUUGUCUUCUGAGUGCGCACACACUACGUCAUCAGCAUACUGAAGCUCUGUGACGGAAGUUACUGUAACCUUACUUACUUAUAUCUUUUGAUAUAAGAUGCUCAAUACAACACACAAUGACUGGGGUGAACUGAGCUCACACUCGCACCAUAUAUUUAAAGGGCAUUUAAAGCAAAUCGCUUCCUUCCAAAGAAUCCUGGGGACCAGUUUGUUAAGGGUGCUGGGAACUGUAGCUCUGGGGAGGUAAACUAGAGUUCCUAAAAUUCUUUGGGAGAAGCCAUGAUUGUUAAAGUGGACACCUUUGAAAUAAGAUUAGACAAAUUCAUGGACGAGACAGCUAUCAAUGGCUACUAGCCGUGGUGGCUACACUCGGCCUCCAUGGCCGGAGAUAGCAAUGUUUCCGAAUUUCAGUUGCAGGGAACCUCAGGAAGGGAAAGUGCUCUUGCGCUCAGGUCCUGCUUUCAAAUUUCCCACGGGCAUCUGGUUUGACAUCAAGAAACAAGAUGCUGGACUAAAUGGGCCAUUGGCCUGGUCCAGCAAGCUCUUCUUAUGUUCUUAACAGAAUUUAAGUGCCUCAACCCCACUCAUCUGGAAAGGAUACAGCAGGCAGGAGCACCACUUGCAAAAAGAAAUGUUAGCAGCCGCUGCCAAGCUUCUUGAGCAGAAUUUGGUUGUGCGAUGCUCUGGGGGAAAGCUGAUGGCAGCCUAAUCUGUUGGAAAGGCUUUUUUUCCCCAGCAGCCAUGAAACGUAACAGAGACUUUGGAUAUUGUCGCAGAUACUAGGAACAAACUCCAAUCUCCCUUUAUGUGUCUCCAAAGUAGCUUGACGAAUUCCACUGAAUUUACUCUUGAAUUAAUCCAGUGCAAUUGAAGCCUUUUUAGCAUGUUUAACUAGCCUAUAUUGUCGCCGAUAAGGGUUAGCUGGCCACUGUUUAAAAGCCUUGCUGGAUAAUCUUUCUAGAUUAAUUAAGGGUGGCUUUUUGGAGCAAACCUAGUUCUGCCCCUUGUCUGAAUUGGCUUAAUCUACUCGCAAAGCCACAGUUAAUCUGUGAAAAGGGUCAGGAGGGACUACAUGUCCCAGCAAUUGAAAAGUGCCGGUUAAGUAACAAACGGAAGUCUUUUUGACGAGGGACGUAACGUGACUUCGUCCAAGGGUCUGAUGCCAUACUAAAGCCGCAAGCCAUGCUUACAAUAGCAAUAGGGAACCUUAUUCGAGUUGAGGUCUGCAUUCCUUUUUAGACAACCAUCCCAGGGGAUGUGUGUCUUUGGUGGGCGGGGCCACAGGCAAAAGUGGGUGGAGCAAUGAAUGUAAAUUUCAUUGUUGUAGUGUAGAUUAGUUUCCACGCCCACUCACACAACCCUCUAUCCAGGCAAGCAAGAGGCAAUCUCAGGGUUCACAGGCACACUCCAACCAGCCAAAAACAUUUGGGGAACAUAGUAGGACCAGGGAGGGAUGUGGACAGAGGAGAGGUGAUGUGGUCUGGGGAAAGUUUGGAGGGUCAGGCAGAGAGGCUUGGAGGGCUACAUUCAGCCCCACAGGCCUAAGGGCCCUACCUCUGUUUCACACUAUUGGAUCACGUCACAUAAAGCAUAAACUGCAUUCUAAUUGGGAGGGUAGUUAGACAUGUCUAGGUAAAUGGCUAAACUUUGGAUCUCAAUCCAAUGAUGGCCAAAAACUUGAAUGGCUUUGAAAGAUUGGAUAAAUUUGUGGAGGCUAUCAAUGGUCGCCAGCCAUGAUGGCUGAUCUCUGACUAUAGUUGAAGGCAGCAACGUCUCUGAAUACCAUUUUCUGGGAGCAGCAGGAUGAGAGACUGCUCUUUUGCUCGGGUCUGCAGGAAAACACAAUUUGCAAUCACGCUAACCCAAUUUGUGAUGUUAUCGCUGAUAUCUGUAAGUCCGGAAUUGAAAAUGUGUGUAAUAAACGGCCGCACUGCAAUAUUUAGUUGCAGGACUCACUUGUGACUCCAUAUUGCAAGCAGGGCCCGGGAAAGGAGAGAGAGAGAGAAAUGAGCAGUAAGUUCAUUGUUGGAAUAUGAUUUGAGAGAGGGACAUAGAAGUGUUGACCUAUUAAACCAUUAUAUGAUGUGCCUUUCACCAAACCCAAAGAGGGAUGGAUGCCAUUUCUUAGGAGGAUGAAAAUGACUUGGUUCUGCUUUUUUAAACAUUUGCAUAUAACUUGAUGAGAACUUGUGUGAUGUGCAAAUAAAGAAAAUAAAAAUGACUUUGAAGGAGAAAGCAAUGAAUGAAUUCCUCCAGCUCAGAAAAACAUUGGCAGGGAGGUCCUUGUUAGAUCUGCUACACUCCCUCUGCUGGAUCUCAGGCUCCAGAGCACAAGACAGAAUGACCAUUUAGGAUGCAUAGCCAUAUUCGUUUUCUUCUGUCAUACUGCAUGUGUCAAAACUGUAAAUGAUCUCUUCAUUAAUUCACAAUGGUUAAUUGAUUUCUUAUGGAUUUGUUUUACCUUUUCAUCGAAGACCUUCCUGAAAAGAAUUAUGACCCCCCCCCCAAAAAAAGCUAUUGUACAAAAGAAAUUGGACAAGUUCACAGAGAAUAAGGCUGUCCGUGGCUACUGCAAUGGAAAAGUCGGGGCAGCACAUUUCGGGCAGGACAUAGUUGAACUAUGGAACUCUCUGCCACAGGAGGCAGUGAUGGCCACAAACUUGGAUGACUUUAAAAGAGGAGUGGGCACGUUCAUGGAGAAGAAGGCUAUCAAUGACAACUAGCCAUGAUGCCUAUGUUCUGCCUCCAUCAUCAGACACAGAAAUGCUUCUGAACUCCAGUUUCUGGAAACCACAGUGUGGGGGAGAAUGCGCUUGUCCUCAGGUCCUGCUUGUGGGAUUCCUACAAGCAACUGGAUGGCCACUGUGAGAACAGGAUGAACAGGCUUGUUUUAUGUUCUUACACAUCACACCGAUUCAGUUUGCUUGCGUGACUUGAUGUACAGUCAUACCUCAGGAUGUAUAUGCUUCAGGUUAAGCUUUUUUGGGUUGCUCUCCGUGGCGACCCAGAAGUAAUGGAGUGUGUUACUUCUUGGUUCUCACCGCUCGUGCAUGUGCAGACACUCAAAAUGACGUCACACGCAUGCGCGGAAGCGGCAAAAUGCAACCCACGCACGCGCAGAUGCGAACGGGGCUCCAGAACAGAUCCCGUUCACAUCCAGAGGUACCACUGUUUGUGCGUCUCAACUUUCUUUCCUUUUCAGUGGAGCUUUUGGAAACAACAGCAAACUUUUCAUCAGCACUUUGCCCUUUUACAUGGUAUCGACGCUCGCAAAUAAGGGCAGGAUAAGAAUAUGCUCUGGUUUUGCCUUUUAAUGCAAACUAUCUUAUUCAUACUGUCCCAAACAGUAUGUGGAUAAAAAUGAGGCUACCUUUUAAAAUUCACACUUUUCUGAAUUUUGCAAGACAGUUCUCCUAACAAAUACAAUGGGGAAAGUCUGCAAAAAAAAAAAAAAAGCUUUCGUUUGUGAAAAUAAAUGCAUUAUAUUUGGGGCUAUUGUUUUCAAAAACAUGUAUCACAGGCAAGAUUGCAUACGAAAAUGUUUAUCUUAGAAGUGCGAUACAAAAAUGCUGACAAACUUUUUUUAUUGCACAAAAUUUAUAUGCUACUUGAUUUUAAAACAAUUUCAAAAUAGUUUGCGCAGAGAAUAAAAUGGUGAAAUUUUUGAUCAAAAACAGUUUGAAAACAACUAUUCAAAACAUUCACAAAUAAUUGAGAUCUACAAGAAGCUAAAAAUUAGAUUAAAACAGAUGUUGACAUUUGAUAUGUCCAGAUAGCCUUGCCUAAACAAAAGCAGAAAGUUCCAAAGCUGGGCUGCUACACUAAAAUAUCCAUGGAAUGAGUAUUCUGUGGCACCUGUAACAGUGCCAACUCCACAGAUCAAACUGGCCGAGUGGUAUAUAUCGGUAAUGCGACCCUGCAGGUGAAUUUUCAUGAGGUCAUUUAAAUAAUAAUAAUAAUAGUGACAAACUGAUGUGGAAAUCUGGAAAAUUGAAUUUGAGUUUGGAUAAAUGAGAAACUGGAGGAAACUGAAAUUGUGAGCUUUGUCUGUCCCUGCUCACACCAUGCGUGCGAGGCAGGCCACAGUUAUUUCCAUUUUACAGGUGGAAAACGGAGGCUGAAAGAGAAUAGCUGGGAUUGCCCAAGAACUGAUGACAAAUAUGUGGAACAAACGGUGCAUGAUGAUCCCAGGUCUCUCUGGCUGGUGCAGCAGCAGUCUGAAUCACCCACUGCUGAUGAGUUAUUUGUUCCCUUUGAUGGUUUGGCUGCAUCUGCAUACGCAAAACCAGACAUCUGUUUUUAUUCUGUCUAGUCUCAUUGAAAAUUUAGCUCUGGUGCUGAAUUUAUAUUUUUUUUACACGAUGAGAUCUCAGCUAUGGAGAUUUUCUAUUUCUUUGUUCCUAGGUAAGAAUGUGUGGGAUUUCUCCUAAAGCUGAGCUAAAAUUACUCUCCUCAGGCCUCAGUUUUGUGUUAUAAGUAAAGGUGGGCGGACCUGUCCGCUAUGGUUUAUCUCAGUUUCUAACACUUGAAAGGCCACCUCCGUCCUUACACCUAUCUUUAUCAAUUCAGUUUCAUCUAUUUCAACUAGGUUCGUCUAUUUUUAAAGCUGAAAUAUUGGGGCGGCCCAUUCCUGGAGACAGUGUGGCAUAGUGGUUAGAGUGCCAAAUCUUCCACUCAACCAUGAAUCUCACUGCAUGACUUUGAACCAGUUCCUGCCUCUCAGCCUAACCUACCUCACAGGGUUGUGGUGAGGAUUAAAUGAGGGGGGCACCACCUUUAGCUCCUUGGAGGAAAAGGUGGAAUAUAAAUGCAACAAACAAAUAAAUAUUGGAGUGGGAAGCAUCUCGGCCUGUAAAGCGAGAUGAGCACCACAACCCCCCAGUUGUCUAGGACUGGACUUAACUGUCGGGGGUCCUUUACCUUACUGUUAUUCCACCAGGAUGUGAAGUUGUGUGACCCAUAGCUCUGUAUCCUUUAUACCUGUGGUUUCCAAAGUGGGUGGUACCGCCCCCUGUGGGUGGGUGGGAUUACCUAGGGAGGCUUCGAAGAUGCAAGUGGAAGGAAGGGGGGCACUGGAAGUGUAAAUGACUAUCAGACUUUGAAAAACUGGUAUCAUUGGAUGAACUUCAUCAAUUUUGUGGAAUUAAUUAAACUAAAUAGUUUUAAUUGGAUUUUAAAUAAAUGUGCAAUUCAUUGUUACCGUUUUGAAUUAUAUUGUGUUAUUAAAUUCCUUAGUCGGUCAUGCAAACUGUUAUGCUGAAUAAUGCUUUUUAUAGGGUAGGGGGUGCUGGGGAUGAAUUUAUGGAACCAAGGAGGAGGGAGUCUGAAAAAGUUUGGGAACUGGUUCUUUACACAGAUUCAAUCCAUGACAUCUUCAGUAAAAGAUUCUCAAGUAGCAGGACUAGGAAAAACCUCCACCGAUAACUUCCUGCCAGGAGUUGACAGUUCUGGGCUCAGUGAUGUGGGUUUUCCCCGGAAAGCUUAGAACUGGAAAAUUACCUUGCAAAUUACUGUAAUCUGCAUAGGCUAAUUUGCAUCUGAAAAACUGCAUUGGAACAUUUUCUGGUGCCCCAGAGAGUGAUCUAAUAUAGCAUAUUUAUUUACUUGCAUUUAGUAAACUUUAUUUACUUGGCAUUUAGCAAGGCUAAAAACUUCAAAGCUGUCACGCUUGCCUCGUAUUGUACUCGCAAUUGGCAUCCACUCAUUGUUACUAAUGAAUUUAUGGAACGGAACAUUUCCCGCAGAAAAAUGGAGCAGUGGGAAAUUUCCGUCCCGUAUCACUGACUGGGCCAAAUGAACCACCCGUAUGAUCCAGGGUAAGGCAGCUUUGUAUGUUCAAGAGAUGAGAGGAUAUGUUCAUUCAGGGAAGCAGGGAGGCCCAAGUGCUGCCAUGGGCAGUAGUGAGCUCAACUGACUUGCUCUCUGGUUAAAUAUGUUUUGAAUUGCAACCUGAUUGUGUACCAACAAACAUCCCCCAGGAGUCUCUGCAAUGCACAAACGAGUCAAUGUAGGAAAGACUCCGUAAGAGUAGGAAGUGCCCUGACUCCUGCCAGUUGAAGGACUCAAACUCAAUUAUGGUAUCCACCCAAAAUCCUAAUGCUCAAAUUGGUAUGGUACGUAAGCAAAGUGAGAGGUCAAGACAGAGCAGGUGAAUUGCAGCGUUUAAUUUUAUAGUAUACUCAUUGAGAAAAUGUUAUUUAUUGCUUAUGACAACUCGUUAUAAUUUUGUAAUUAUGCACAUUUUUUUCGUGUUGAAAGUCGCCUGGUUCAGCUAUGGAAAGGAGGCAUACAAAUAAACCAUGAUGAUGAUAAUAAAAUAUCUCUCAAAUUCUUUUUUUUUUUUUUAUACUUAGAAAACCAUCAGAUCCAAAAUUCCAAAAAUGCUUCUUUUUCUUUUGCUCAGUUUAAAUCGGUCCAAAUAUAGUGGUACCUCGGGUUAAGAACUUAAUUCGUUCUGGAAGUCCGUUCUUAACCUGAAACUGUUCUUAACUUGAGGUACCCACUUUAGCUAAUGGGGCCUCCCGCUGCUGCCACGCCGCAAUUUCUGUUCUCAUCCUGAAGCAAAGUUCUUAACCCGAGGUACUAUUUCUGGGUUAGCGGAGUCUGUAAUCUGAAGCGUCUGUAACCUGAGGUACCACUGUACUGAAUUCUUUUCUGGAUAUGCUUCAGACAUGGGGGCUGCUGUCUGCAAUCCCCCAGCCCUUCUUGGAGAUAUGGCUGUUUGGGGGUGCUCCCCCCCCUUGCCGUGGGGUGUAUUCAAGAGCUAGAAAAAUUCUUUCUCUCCCUCCCCUUCACAAGUUAUCCUUAAAUAGCAGGCGUGCAGCAGAGCGUAGCAGAGAGGAUGGCAGUAUCUUUUUGGUGCAGAGUGAAACAGAGAUCCAUCACUCCCGGUGCCAACACAAGCCAUCAGUUACUGAGUGUACUCUCCAGAACAGCUCCUCCUGAGACAGCUGGCCUGCCUUCGUUCCAAAGGGCAGUUUGGAGGAUUCUUCCCCAUUUGCUCAGCAGUCCUCUGGGCUCCUCAACCCUCAUGCAUUAUAAAGAAAGACUUAAUGGUGGCUGGCUGCACAGUGAAGGUUCUUGACCCCUCUCAACACACAUACACACCCUACCCCUCGGCUGUUCCUUGUCUCUGCUGCUCAUGCGUGACUAUUAGACUCUGAUUUGAUUUCGCUUCUAAUGGCACGAACCCCCAUUAAAACCCAAUUCAGCUUAUUAUCAACAGCUUUCCUUAAAUGAAUUGAGUGGCUCCUCAGGGAUUCUCCUAGAGCCAGAGACGAACAAAAACCGGCAGGAGACCAGCGUGCUGUAAAGAAUGUUGCAGAUUGUUUUGCUGGCUAAGAUAAAUGUCCAUUUCAUCCAGGACAUUUGGCAGGCUGCCAGGUGCCAUCUAGAAGGUCACAACCAGGACGUAAAGGAAAUGGAUAUUCCGUUAUUAGUGCCUCGAAUUUGAUGCUCUACUGGUUUGUACACAGCAUCAGAGGUAAAGGACCAGUUCGCACACAAAGGUUUGCACAUAAACACAUGCUUUCCUCUAAUACACGCCUUUUAGCAAACAUUAUUGGGUUGGCGAACUGCGUUGCAAAAUUCAGAAAAGUGAGAAUUCUGAAGGGCAGCAUGUUUCACUUCACAUCUUGCUUUGAGAAGUGUAAAUUGAAUAGAUUUGCAUCACAAUGCAAGAUGAAUCCCCCCCACUUCUAUGUGAACAAACUGUGUGCUAUCAUUACUACGAUCUGUGGGAGUGAGUUCAAGCCUGCAGAACCAGUUGGGCAGCCUCCCCCAACCCAACCCAUCUUUAAUUAUCUGAUUCAGCAGUGGUCAUCAUUGGAGGGAGUUAUUUCUAGACAGAACCAUUUAAAGAAGCUGGAAGGUGUGCAGAGGAGGGUGCUCAAGAUGAUUCAAGUGUCUGGAAACUAAGGCUUAUGAGAAAUGACUGAGGGAGUUGGGUACGUUUAGCCUGGAGAUGAGAAGACUGAUAGGUGAUAUGAUAGCCAACUUCAAAUAUCUGUUGCAGGGAAGAUGGAGAAAGCUUGUUUUCUGCGGCUUCAGAGGACAGGACCUGAACCAAUGGACUCAAAUGACAAGGAGAUUCCAACCAAAUAUUAGGAAGAACUUUGUGGCAGUAAGAUCUGUUUGACAGUGGAGCAAACUGCCUUGGAAGGUAAUGGACUUUCCUUCAUUGAAAGCUAUUAAACAGAGGUUGGGUGACCGUCCGUGAGGGAUUCUUUACCUGUGAUUCUAGCAUUACAGAGGAUUAGAGUAGAUAACUCCCAAGGUCCCUUCCAGCUCUAUAGUUACAUGAUUUCUCAAUAUGCACCUGUGCCUAAUUUGAGAACAGUACCCUCGCUUACUGUUCUAUUACUUUGUGUUGAGGAAGGGGGAUGAAAAUCUAUAAAGAGCUGCAACCAUCCAAUUGUGUUGCAACCAAAUAAAGCCCCUUAAGUCAGUGGAGGGCAGAAUAUACACCAGGCUUAAUGGCUUAAUUGUAGGGCCAUUUGAAGCACAUCUGAAAUUGGUCCUGCUUGUCUCUCCCCCGACUCCCCACUUCGCACAAGCAAGGACUGGUGGCCGUAGAGACUGGCAGCUCCCCUGAUCAAUCUGCACAUGGGACUCUUGCCUUCUCCAAUGCUUGCCUGUUAUUG